rnacentral:rRNA from 1 species
CUACCUCUUCCCAUUCCGAACAGAGAAGUCAAGCCCGCCAGAGCCGAUGGUAUUGCCGUAACAGGUGGGAGAGUAGGUCGGUGCCUUUU